UUCUAGCCCGGAUGGAAACGACAUCCUUUUUAUUUUUUCAGAAAAAAAUAAAAAGAUACAGUGGACAGCCGGACGGGUA
rnacentral:sRNA from 1 species